GGGAUUUUGGAUCCUCUCAUUUUGAAUUGAAAUCUACUUAAUAAAUUAGGCUAUUUAGUUUAGAUUUUGAUAUCCCACCACUUUCAAAAUUUUAGAUAUAACCCUAUUCUAAACUAAUAGGAUGGGAGAUAGAAAUUGAUUCUAGACACCACCAAACUAUAUUUAUAUUCCGUAACUUAUAACACGCUCUUUAGUUUACUCAUCUAUGAGAUAGCGAAUUGACCACUUACUGUUAAAAACAAAUUAGAUUUCCACACAAAUUAACUGAGCACCAGUGGUCUAGUGGUAGAAUAGUACUCUCCCGGCUGGUGCAUUUUUUCCUCGUUUUGUUUCUUUUUCUAUGCCCUCUUUUGUUAUUUCCCACCUUUUUUGUAGUAGAAUAGAUUUCAAGCAUUCACGUAUGCAUACCCAUGUACAUCUUCCCUACGAUUUCAAGCAGAGCUGAACAUCUAGUAAUUCGAGUGUAGCCAAGCACAGGGUUUGAAAAUCUCCCUAUAAAGGGUUCAGACUGACAAAACAUCAUCAGAACGCAUGUUCAGAAUUCAGAUACGCUGCGACUUCGGUAGCAUCCAGAAUUCUUGUAACAGUACACUUUUUUUCCCCUGCAGUUUUUUCCGGUUCACGCAUCAGCAUGUUAGCAGAAGGAAGAGUUGCACCUGCUUUAUUAUUAGUCAUUAAAGUUUCGUUUUUGAAGUAACUUUCAGCACUUAACUCUUCUGAUUUAGAGUUAAAGUGUCAGGGCUUCCUCCAUGCUGAAAAGGAGAUCAGAUACAGCACUCUCCCUGCUCACCACACACGGUAGCUGAGAGAAGGAGAUCAGCUCAAGAUCACUAGAGGCUACACCAUCAGGCUACAUUCAUGAUCCAUGCUUUAUGUGCAGAAGAUCACAUUUUCACCCCCAAAGCAUCCAUGAAUUGGUUUAACCCAUUGGCAUAAUAAUGCCGUUGUCUCGGUCCAGCGGAUUGGUUUUCCUGCUUCAUUGUGCGGUGUGCCCAGCAAGGGCUGCAAGGCUCGCCAAGCUCAUUCGCCGUACGCACACGGCACGCCGUCUGCUGCUAUGCUAUGCGUGCUCGGCUCCCUACGGCUCUACCACCCGUCGACUCCGUUCAGCAUCGCCGCGAGGAACAGGUCAUCUUUGAAAACUUUUUUUUUGAAGGGGGUCAUCUUUGAAAACUUGGUUAUAUGUUUGAGAAAUAUAAAAUGUUCAUCGUCAACCACAACGUAUCUUAUUUAAGGUAAAGACUUUACUACAACCGGCCGUACGAUUGUGCAAUUGUAUGGCCUCUUCCAUCCACCAUCUGUGUUUCAUCCAACGGCACGAACACCACAUGCACGCCUCGCUCACGCGCGCGCAGAUGACAGGGUGGCCCCACGUUAGAGCGGUGGACAAUUUUAUUCAGAACAUUCGAAACCGCGCCUGUUCAUUUCGUUCCCCUCCUCUCUCUUCGUUCCCGUCGACCUCUGGCGAUCCCACAGCCAACUCCCAUGGCACCCAGCUGAAUCCGGCCAUCACACCCUGACGAGUGCGGGUCGGGAGGCUGGAUCUCCGUGUGGUGGCUUACGCGCAUUUAUUUGGGAAGUGCAGAUCCAGGCCAUGUGUCCAGAACUGCACGCCGCUGGGGAUCUUGGGUAACGCCAGGGUGCUGGGAAAUUGCAGCAGCUCUUUUUCAUGCAUAUUUGUCACAAUGCCGAGAGGACAGAAGCAAAAAACAGCGCCCCCCUUCUUCUCAUACGGCGGCACAGGGCAUCGCCUGCUAGGCUUGUCAAGCUGUACAAAACCAUGUCUUCUAAUCAGAUGAGAUGAAGAUGAUAUGUGAUGUGGAAUUCGGCGGGCUGCUGAAGAUCUCUUGCGAAACAAUGCAGCGGAUCUCGCUAACUGGUUUUUCUUUGACUGUUUUGAUGCUGAGUCCUCAGAGCUUGUGCUUCAUGGAAGGGGUGGGAUCUCUGUUACAGCAGAAGCUGUCGCUGACAUACUGGGCUUACCAAACAAGGGCGGCGAAGUGAAAUACGAGCUUGAUUUGGAAGCUGUUAACUUUAUACUCUGUACAAAAUUGUCCAUGGCACAGCACCCAAAAUUGAAGCAAUUAUGGAAAAGGGUGUGAAGGAAAAUAACAUUGAAAUGAGGAUUUCCUGAGAUCAUGGCUGAUGAUUGUUGUAUCCACAUUCUUGUGGCCUUCAUGCUGCAACUAGUUUGUGCAUCAGUCCAAGGUGUUACGAGGAAUAGUUGAUCUUUCAAUGGUCAAGGAGUUGAAAUCUUUCAAUGGUCAAGGAGUUGAUUUGGUGCAAGUUUGUUGUGGAGCAGCUCCAGGAUGCCGCUAAAAAGAUGGACAAGAAAAACUCAGUGUGGGGGUUGCCUUUUCCUACUUGAGAUCCUUUACGCAGAUUCACCAGCGGUUGAUAAUGUAGAAAUCAGUGUCACUAAGGCUCGGGUCGCUGCAUGGACGAGGAAGCUAUUGGGCGAGGUGAUUAAGCUAGACAGAAACCAUGAUGGCUCAUUCGGCAAACUUAAGAUCUACUGGCAACAUAUUAACAGCAUUAGUGAUGGUGUGGACGACAGGGAAGCAACCAAGGGGGAUAUCCAGCACUUCUGUCCAGAAAUUUACACACACAUGUUUUUCAAAUCUCUAUGUAUAGCAAUUUGUUCGGGUAAAACAAAUAAGGUCUGUGUGGUUUUUGCCUCUGGAGGAUGUGUUUUUACCUGUGGAUCUAUUAUGUUGCUAGUACCCUAAAACAAAACUGCAGAUGAUGGAUACAUAGUAGUAAAAAGACUCGUCUUGAUAUGCUCA